GGGGUGCGCGUAGGUGCUACUCCUGUCUCUAAAACAGGUAAUGUCGGCGCAAUUCCGACCACCCCCGCCA
rnacentral:tRNA from 1 species